rnacentral:misc_RNA from 1 species
AAAGUCGUAACAAGGUUUCCGUAGGUGAACCUGCGGAAGGAUCAUUACACUCAGUAGAUCUCUACUGCUCAGGGGGGAGAGGAAAGUCUUCAGCAUGCUUCGGCGGCUGGUGACGAGUACGCUCUCUAUCUGAACCCUUGUCUUUUUGUGCACUCUUGUUUCCUCGGCGGGCCUGCCCGCCGGUUGGACAACUUUAUAACCUUUUUAAUUUUCAAUCAGCGUCUGAAUAAAUAUAAUAAUUACAACUUUCAACAACGGAUCUCUUGGUUCUG